rnacentral:siRNA from 1 species
GAUGCUCUUCAUCGAGCAAC